rnacentral:lncRNA from 1 species
CAAGAUCCUCCAGGUUGACACGUCACUCCUGAAAACAUUCUGCUUUAAACAGAAGCCACUUCGCUGCUCUGACGUGAAUUUCUAUAACCAAGACAUACUCUUCGACCUAGAGAGAUCAAGGCAUGAAAAAAUGGAACUUCUCAAGGAUGAGGAAACAGACUUUGAGAGGUAAAAUAACACGACGGAAUCUAUGCACUACCUGAUGGCUGAGCUGGGACUUAUCCCCAGGUCCAGUGGCCUCUAGAGCACAGGUGUGUUACUACCACCCCAUUCUGCCCAAGUGAAGCAAGCAGCAGAGAAAUAAUAUGCAGGUUUGCUUUCCAAGGAACCCAAAUGAAGAUAGAAUGACUCAAAGAGAAGAUGUAUAGAAGUACUUACAGCAUGUGGCACAUGGUCUCUGUGCCUGGGCACCAAGCAGACUGUGGUAUCAAUUACAGUGGACCCUGUGCAUCCCUCAGCCAUCCAGGCAGGUGCAGACACUCCUCAGGCUAGGGAUAGCCUCAGGAGACUGACUCAGCCAGAAGGUUGCCCUGGAGAAGACCAGGUAGUCCCUGUUGGCAUGCUCAGAGGACGUGUAGAUCUCUCAUGGAUGGUCAGGACAAUCACCAGUACCAGGAUAUCUGGAUCAGGUAAAAGAUAUUCCAAGAGGAGGUUCAGUU